rnacentral:rRNA from 1 species
UCUGGUAUGGUGCGCCUGGCCCACGCGUUGCCCAACCGCGAUUGUUGGUGUGCACCUGGCAUCUUUCUAGCUUACUGCACGCACUUAACUGGGCGGUCAGCGAUCUAGAUCUUUUACUUUGAAAAAAUCAGAGUGUUUAAAGCAUGCUUGCGCUAUGAAUACAUUAGCAUGGAAUAGUAAUUUAGGACUUUAUUCCUAUGUAUUGGUUUCUGGAAUAAAGUAAUGAUUGAUACGGAUAGGUGGGGGUGCCACUAUUCAUCGGCCAGAGGUGAAAUUCUUGGAUUCGAUGAAGACUAACUAAUGCGAAAGCAUUCACCAAGGAUGUAUUCUUUCAUCAAGCACGAAAGUUGGGGGAUCGAAGACGAUCAGAUACCGUCGUAGUCUCUACCAUCCACUAUACCGACUAGGGAUUAGUGGAAGUUGCUUUUUCGACUCCAUUAGCACCCGAUGAGAAAUCGAAGUCUUUGGGUUCUGGGGGGAGUAUGGUCGCAAAGCUGACACUUAGACGACUCGACGGAUGGGCACCACCCAGCUAGUGGAGCCCGCGGCCUUAAUUUGACUCUACACGGGGAAACUUACCAGGUCCGGACAUAGUGAGGAUUGACAGAUUGAAGUUCUUUCUUGAUUAUAUGGGUGGUGGUGCAUGCCCGCUCUUAGUUGGUGGAGCGAUCUGUCUGGUUAAUUCCGUUAACGAACGAGACCUCGACCUGCUGUAUAGUACAACGUCACCCUUGGUUAUGUGUCACUUCAUAGUAGGACUGUCGGUUCCUAACCGAUUAAAGUUUGAGGCGCAUAC